UGUUAUGAAUAUUCUUGUACGGUUCCUUUUGUAGAAAUGUGCUUUUUUAAAAAAAUCUUAGAUGAAAAUUUAGGAAUGGAAAGUACUAGGUCAAAAAGAAAGUACAUAGUGACUUGAUAAGAAUUUGCCUGGAACUUAAUUCAUGAGUUAUAAAUUAUGCAGUGUUCUAAUGAGCAUGAUGACAUCUCACCCUGUCCCUUUUAGUCCCAUCCAGGAAAUACAUCACUCUUUUGUCUUUACUGUUUGGAAAUGGUAGUUUUUGACCUAUAUGGUGGGUGUAUAGAUAAUUCAAAUAAUGCCAAGUUGCAAAUGUUUGUCUUUUGCACUUACGUGUGUCAUAUUUAAUGAUAUUAAAGUAAAAUAAAACAAAACUAAAAGCAAAACAUUUAGUUAGCUUGUUCUCUGAAGGAUGGCAGUGAAACUCCCUUCAUGGAGCAAACCCCUUACUUCACAAAUUCUUUAGUAAAUAAAUCUAAAUGUAGACUUUCCCCCUAGGUUAUCAUAAAGAGCUAAAUUUUGAAGACCAGGAAAUGGGCCUUUCCUCAGACAAACUGCUCACUUGAAGAUUUCUUUGUGGUUUAGCACAGUGCUAAACAUUUUGUUAUCUAAAUAAAUGAGUUAAUGGGUGGAAAAGUGAC
rnacentral:lncRNA from 1 species